rnacentral:rRNA from 1 species
GAUGGACGCUGGCGGCGUGCCUAAUACAUGCAAGUCGAGCGAACAGACGAGGAGCUUGCUCCUUUGACGUUAGCGGCGGACGGGUGAGUAACACGUGGAUAACCUACCUAUAAGACUGGGAUAACUUCGGGAAACCGGAGCUAAUACCGGAUAACAUGUUGAACCGCAUGGUUCAACAGUGAAAGACGGUCUUGCUGUCACUUAUAGAUGGAUCCGCGCCGCAUUAGCUAGUUGGUAAGGUAACGGCUUACCAAGGCAACGAUGCGUAGCCGACCUGAGAGGGUGAUCGGCCACACUGGAACUGAGACACGGUCCAGACUCCUACGGGAGGCAGCAGUAGGGAAUCUUCCGCAAUGGGCGAAAGCCUGACGGAGCAACGCCGCGUGAGUGAAGAAGGUCUUCGGAUCGUAAAACUCUGUUAUUAGGGAAGAACAAAUGUGUAAGUAACUAUGCACGUCUUGACGGUACCUAAUCAGAAAGCCACGGCUAACUACGUG